UACGUAGGGGGCAAGCGUUGUCCGGAAUCCUUGGGCGUAAAGAGCGUGUAGGCGGCUCGGUAAGUCCGCUGUAAAAGUCCAGGGCUCAACCCUGGAAAGCCGGUGGAAACUGUCGAGCUAGAGUCCGGAAGAGGCGAGUGGAAUUCCUGGUGUAGCGGUGAAAUGCGCAGAUAUCAGGAGGAACACCAAUGGCGAAGGCAGCUCGCUGGGACGGUACUGACGCUGAGACGCGAAAGCGUGGGGAGCAAACAGG
rnacentral:rRNA from 1 species